rnacentral:lncRNA from 1 species
AGUCUACGAAUUUUCUAUUGCCCACAUCACUGUGGAUCAAAAUGCGAAAGAGAUCGAUGACACCGACUUUCUCUGGGCUCAACAGCAUGUAAUUGCUGGAGAAGCUCUUGUCACAAGCCAUGGCUUUGAGGCAAAGAGGAGGGAGAUGAUAGCCUGGUUUUUCUUUUUUUCACUUGUCGUUUUGGAUGAGACUUGUACUGCUUAUUGGACUAAGCUUCAAAGGGUUAUUUAUACAGGCUUCUUGGCCAUUUAACUUAAAAAGGUUCCUUUUUUCUUCCUGGUUACAAGAAUUAAA